GACGAACGCUGGCGGCGUGCUUAACACAUGCAAGUCAAGCGGUAAGGCCCUUUCGGGGGUACACGAGCGGCGAACGGGUGAGUAACACGUGGGCGACCUGCCCUCAGCUCUGGGAUAAGCCCGGGAAACUGGGUCUAAUACCGGAUAUGACCUCUCAUCGCAUGGUGGGUGGUGGAAAGUUUUUUCGGCUGAGGAUGGGCCCGCGGCCUAUCAGCUUGUUGGUGGGGUGAUGGCCUACCAAGGCGACGACGGGUAGCCGGCCUGAGAGGGCGACCGGCCACACUGGGACUGAGACACGGCCCAGACUCCUACGGGAGGCAGCAGUGGGGAAUAUUGCGCAAUGGGCGGAAGCCUGACGCAGCGACGCCGCGUGGGGGAUGACGGCCUUCGGGUUGUAAACCUCUUUCGACCUUGACGAAGGCCUUCGGGUUGACGGUAGGGGUAGAAGAAGCACCGGCCAACUACGUGC
rnacentral:rRNA from 1 species